rnacentral:rRNA from 1 species
CAGCCGCCACGGGAAUACGUAGGGUGCGAGCGUUAAUCGGAAUUACUGGGCGUAAAGCGUGCGCAGGCGGUUGUGUAAGACAGGUGUGAAAUCCCCGGGCUUAACCUGGGAACUGCGCUUGUGACUGCACAGCUAGAGUAUGGCAGAGGGGGGUGGAAUUCCACGUGUAGCAGUGAAAUGCGUAGAGAUGUGGAGGAACACCGAUGGCGAAGGCAGCCCCCUGGGCCAAUACUGACGCUCAUGCACGAAAGCGUGGGGAGUAAACAGGAUUAGAUACCCCCGUAGUCCCUGUCUCUUAUAC